CCUACGGGGGGCAGCAGUGAGGAAUAUUGGUCAAUGGGCGCAAGCCUGAACCAGCCAUCCCGCGUGAAGGAAGAAGGCCCUACGGGUUGUAAACUUCUUUUCUGUUUGAAGAAUAAGCUCGUCGAGACGAGUGAUGCCGGUAGGACAGGAAUAAGCAUCGGCUAACUCCGUGCCAGCAGCCGCGGUAAUACGGAGGAUGCAAGCGUUAUCCGGAUUUAUUGGGUUUAAAGGGUGCGCAGGUGGUUUAAUAAGUCAGUGGUGAAAGUCUGGCGCUUAACGUUAGGAUUGCCAUUGAUACUGUUAGACUUGAAUAUGGAUGAGGUAGGCGGAAUGUGUAGUGUAGCGGUGAAAUGCUUAGAUAUUACACAGAACACCGAUUGCGAAGGCAGCUUACUAAUCCAUCAUUGACGCUGAGGCACGAAAGCGUGGGGAUCAAACAGGCUUAGAUACCCCUGUAGUC
rnacentral:rRNA from 1 species